AUUUUUUUUUUUACAAGUUUUGAUGGAAAGAGGGAAUUGUUAAGCAUAUGUCCAAAUUUUAAGGUCAAAAUAAUAAAUUUCAAAUGUUCUACUUAUGUGUGAUUUGUUCAAAUCUUAAUAAGGUUAGCGUAAUUUACCAAAACGUUUCAGUUUCAAUUUCAAUUUCAAUUACAACAUCAAGGGCUUUUGCAACGCGAUCCAAUAGCUGACGUAGUGUUGACAACUUGACAGACCUCUGUUCUGUUGAGAGCAGAAAACCAAACCCCAUCUGAAUAAACCCUCCCAAAAUCCAAUCUUUCAAAUAAUUGAAAUUAGGGUUCUUAUAAUUUUGUUACCCUCAAACUCAGUCGAUUUCUAAUCUCUUGGUUCAGUUUUGUUGGGAAUCAUGGGCAAUACAUCUUCAAUGCUUACUCAAUAUGACAUCGAGGAGGUCCAAGAACACUGUAAUAACACCUUUUCGCAGCAGGAGAUAGUGUCUCUCUAUGAGAGGUUCUGUCCGCUGGAUCGCAACGGUGGUGGCUUCAUUUCCGGCGAGGAGUUUUUAUCCCCGUCAAUCCUCUAUCUCAGAGAUUGUUGAGGAUGCUGGAUGGAUUGAAUUUCAAGGAAUUUGUGGCUUUCUUGUCUGCAUUAAGUUCUCGCGCAAGCUUGCAGCAAAAAGUAGAAUGAAAUUAUUCUUUCUAUUAUUGACCGGGAAAAAAA